UCUACCUUUCCGUCCGGGAUAACUAGCCGAAAGGUUAGCUAAUACCAGAUGCGCUCAUCGAACGGCAUCGUUUGAUGAUGAAAGCAGCAAUGCGCGGAUUGAGGAGCCUGCGGCCCAUUAGCUAGUUGGUGAGGUAACGGCCCACCAAGGCAACGAUGGGUAGCUGGUCUGAGAGGACGACCAGCCACACUGGGAUUGAGAACGGCCCAG
rnacentral:rRNA from 1 species